UCCACCUGUUCCACACGGACUCUUCCUCCAUCUACCGUUGCUGCUGUUGGAUCAAGCAAUGGGGACACAGGGAGAUUGGUGCUGGCGGCUCUUGCUGACGCAAGGCAAGGGAGAGAGAACAAGAAGGAGGAUUAGCGCUGCUGCUAUUGAAUCCGUGGGGAAAAAGGCUGAUUUCUUCGACGAAUUUCUGGAAUUAAUUGACAAGGAAUUUCAAGUCGGCCCAAUGAUGAAAGUUGUACCUUUCGUCGAUAUCUUUCCAAUGGCGCUAGUUUCGUUCAAUUUGGAUUAGCGGUUUAGGAGAUAUCAAUGAAACUGUGCUGCUGUUCCAUUUAGAAAAUCUGUGCGCAGAAACUGUUUUUAUAGUUUUGACUUAUUUAGAGGCCGAAUUUCCCCUACGCGCUGUAACUAAAGUUGUAGGAAAUUUUCUGUAGAUGUUCAAAAUGUAUUUAUUUACUACAUUUGGUUAAGAGAAUCAAAAGUUAUGGGCCAAACAGCGAGUAACUCAGAGAAUUAAUCGAAUUUUCAGAAAUUGCGAGAGUUAAUGGUUUAGGCAUUUAGUUCGGAAUUUCUUCGAGUAUAUAGGCUUUGGGUCGAUAUGAACUAGUUCUUAAGGGUGGUUUAUUCCACAAGUUUGAUAAAUUAUAGUCGCAAGCGUGUGGCGUCGGAUUCCCGAUAAGGUUAAGGCAAGUGCAACGACGAACCUCUUGAUGUGUGAUUAUGUUUGUGGCUUUCUUGCUGCCCUUGGGCGAAGUUUACUCAAUGUCUUUAUUUUAUAUGUCAAUUCCUUUAAGAAUCAUGUCAUAAUUUUCUAGUUCUGUCAAAUGUUCAAGAUUCGUGUGUUGCCUUUCA